ACAGGCACCUACGGACCACGAAGGUGGCCCUCUGCUUAUCCAGAAUGCGGGGAAAGGAAUCAGUCUCCCGUGGAUAUCCCAGAUCAAGACACCCAGGUUUCUCAAGAGUGCCAGGAGCUGACCUUGGAUGGCUUUGAAAACAAGUCGUCAAACAGGACCACCAUGAAGAACACAGGCAAAACAGUGUCUAUUGUUCUGAAGAAUGAUUACUUUGUGAGAGGGGCCGGCCUACCUGGACGCUUCAAAGCAGAAAAAGUGGAGUUUCACUGGGGCAGCACAAAUGGAUCAGCUGGUUCUGAGCACAGUAUCAAUGGAAAGAAGUUUCCAGUAGAGAUGCAGAUUUAUUUCUACAAUUCAGAUGAUUUUGACAGUCUGAGCACCGCGAUAAAGGAGAGACGAAUCAUCGCCGCCUUGGCUGUCUUCUUUCAGGUGGCGAAGAAAGACAACAUUGCAGCUGAGCCCAUCAUCACAGGUCUCAAACGAGUAGUCCAUCACGAGAAGGAAACAAACCUUGGUCCAUUCAUACUGAGGGAUCUGCUGCCAUCAUCUUUGGAAAGUUAUUACCGCUACACCGGCUCGCUCACGACACCUCCCUGCAGUAAAGUCGUGGAGUGGAUCAUCUUCAGUCGACCUGUUUACCUCUCCUACCACCAGGUUGAGCAGCAGGAUCAUGUGAAGUCCGUGGAUUACCUGAGGAAUAACCAUCGGCCCACUCAGGAUCUCGACAGCCGGCAGAUCUUCAAAUCGGCUCUGAUGGAUGCUUGGAUGCCCGACCUCAUGACAGACAGCAUGGCCAGCGCUGCAGACUCAGAAACUUCUCGAGGUAUGAUGGCUUCCUUCCCAAAUCAGAGGGCGGUCAUCACACUCGUGUCUCCAGAUGUCCUGUAUCUGUUCAGAGUGCAAGCUGUAUGUCAGAGAGACCAGCGCAGUGACUUCAGCCAAACACUUUUAUUCAAAGCAAACACCACAAGGAUAUUUGAGGGCACAAGGAUUGUGAAAACUGGAAUGCCCACAGUUUCCCCCGCCUCUUCGGCAGACAUGGCCCCUAUAAGCUCAGGCUCCUCUACCUGGACGUCCGCCGGCCUCCCCUUUUCCUUCGUCUCCAUGGCAACGGGAAUGGGGCCUCCAUCCAGUGGAGGACAAGCCACUGUAGCAUCUGUGGUGACCAGCACUCUGUUGGCAGGACUGGGUUUCAGUGGCAGUGUGAUUUCUUCCCUGCCAGGAUCAUUUUGGCCAACCCACUCUACAAACUCAGCAAAUAACAAACAGGAAGAUGACCGUGAAAGAGAGGAGAAAGAGGAGGAAGAAGAAGAAGAGGAGGAGGAGGAAGAGGAACAGGGAGAAGAGGAGAAGAAAAAAAAGGGGAAAGAUGUGACAGUCAAGGACAAAAAGCAGGACAAGACGGUGCCACGAAAACCACCUGCCCCUGUCCCAACUACAAAACACAGGGAGCCGGGUCGAGAGAGGGCCGAUGUUAACACUGAGAAUUCCACAUUGGCCCCUAGAAUAGUGGAAGAGCAGGUGCCUCGUUCCACAGAGAGGCCUUCUGGUGAGGAUUCAUCAAAAACAACAUGGCUGGAGGAUAAUGACACUGCAGAUAUGCAGCUUCCCUCCACAUCCAGCCGGAUGGAGUGGAUCAUCCCCCUGAUGGUGGUCUCUGCCCUCACGCUGCUCUGUCUGAUCAUGCUGCUGGCUGUCCUGCAAGCAGGAGGCUUCCUCAAAAUUAAGGAGCUGUCUAAAAUCAUCCUGAUUAACCUGCAUUCUACUAACCGGGGGACCGUUUCUGUUCUUAGGAGAUUCUUCCAGACUGCACAUUUGUAUAUUGAAGACAGGAACUCCCCCAGAGUGAUCCACAAUGACAGUUUCCCCAUCCUGUCUACAGCGGAUGACCUGGAGGCUGUUUCAGUCAGGCAGUUCAUCAAACACAUCAUGGAGCAGUACUCCAACAACCAACAUGGCUUUUCUCAGGAGUUCGAUGAGGUUCAACACUGCACAUCUGAAAUGAAGAUUACAGCAGAACGUUCAAACCAACCAGACAACAAGCACAAAAACAGAUACAUCAACAUUGUUGCCUAUGACCACAGCAGAGUGAAGUUGCAGCAACUGUCUGGGAAAGACUCCAAGCACAGUGAUUACAUCAAUGCCAACUAUGUAGACGGUUAUAAAAGACCCAGGGCUUAUAUAGCAGCUCAGGGCCCUCUGAAGUCCACAUUUGAGGACUUUUGGAGAAUGAUUUGGGAACAGAACACCACUGUGAUUGUCAUGAUCACCAACUUGGUGGAGAAAGGCAGGAGAAAAUGCGAUCAGUAUUGGCCAUCAGAGAACAGCGAGGUUUAUGGGAACAUAAUGGUGACUCUGAAGAGCACUAAAGUUUAUGCUUACUACACACUCCGCCAUUUCAUCAUGCGCAACACCAAACUGAAAAAGGGUCAGAAGGGAAGGCAUAACGAACGGCUGGUUGUCCAGUACCAUUACACACAGUGGCCAGACAUGGGCGUACCCGAGUAUACACUACCAGUCCUCAAAUUCAUCUCUCGAUCUUCAGCAGCCCGUACGCCAGGCACAGGCCCUGUUCUAGUUCACUGCAGUGCUGGAGUUGGCAGAACAGGCACAUACAUAGUCAUAGACAGCAUGCUGCAGCAGAUAAAGGACAACGGCACUGUCAACGUCCUAGGAUACCUCAAGCACAUCCGAGCUCAGCGCAACUACUUGGUCCAGACUGAGGAGCAGUUUAUCUUUAUCCAUGAUGCAUUAAUGGAAGCUGUGCUUGGCAAAGACACCGAGGUGCCUGUCUGGCAACUCCAUAGUUAUGUCAACAGCAUUCUCACCUCGAGCCCCACAGGACAAACACGCAUGGACAAACAAUUUAAGUUGUUGACGCAAUGCAAUUCUCACCUCACUGAGUGUUUCAGUGCCCAGAAAGACUGCAACAAAGAGAAGAACCGCACCUCGUCGGUCUUGCCAAUGGAACGGGCUCGGGUGGCACUAGCUCCCCUCCCAGGAGUAAAAGGAACCGACUACAUCAAUGCCGCCUACAUUAUGGGCUAUUACAGGAGCAACGAGUUCAUCAUUACCCAGCAUCCUCUGCCCCACACAACCACAGACUUCUGGAGGAUGAUCUGGGAUCAUAAUGCUCAAGUUAUUGUGAUGUUGCCAGACAACCUCGGCCUUACUGAGGAUGAAUUUGUGUACUGGCCCAGCAGAGAGGAGCCCAUGAACUGCGUAGCUUUCACUGUCACCCUCAUUAAUACUGACAGACUCUGCUUAUCUAAUGAGGAGCAACUCAUCAUCCACGACUUCAUCCUAGAAGCCACACAGGAUGACUAUGUGCUAGAAGUCCGACAUUUUCAAUGUCCAAACUGGCCAGAUCCUGAUGCAUCCAUCAGCAGCACAUUUGAGCUCAUCAACAUCAUCAAAGAAGAGGCUAUGGCAAGGGAUGGUCCCACCAUCGUGCAUGAUGAGUUUGGCGCCAUCUCUGCCGGGAUGUUCUGUGCUCUGACCACACUUUCCCAACAACUGGAGAACGAGAGUGCUGUGGAUGUCUAUCAAGUGGCCAAAAUGAUUAACCUCAUGAGGCCUGGCGUCUUCACUGAAAUUGAGCACUAUCACAACCUUUACAAGGCUAUGCUCAGCCUUGUCAGCAGUAAAGACUUCAGACUUGGCUUCAACUACAUGGACAAAAUUGCUGGGAUAGUGGUAACAGAUGAAUCCAACCAGGCUGAGAGCAUGGAGUCCUUGGUGUGAAGUUUUCGGGAAAAUGAGAUGGAACAAAGUGGUUCCUUGAACUUUCCAUGAGGCCUUUUUUCCCAGACUCUUGGUGAAAUAAAAAAGAAAAAAACAACA
ensembl:lncRNA receptor-type tyrosine-protein phosphatase gamma-like